rnacentral:rRNA from 1 species
GACGAACGCUGGCGGCGUGCUUAACACAUGCAAGUCGAGCGGUAAGGCCCUUUCGGGGGUACACGAGCGGCGAACGGGUGAGUAACACGUGGGUGACCUGCCCUCAGCUCUGGGAUAAGCCUGGGAAACCGGGUCUAAUACUGGAUAUGACUCCAUGACGCAUGUUGUGGGGUGGAAANCCUUGUGCGGCUGAGGAUGGGCCCGCGGCCUAUCAGCUUGUUGGUGGGGUGANGGCCUACCAAGGCGACGACGGGUAGCCGGCCUGAGAGGGCGACCGGCACACUGGGACUGAGACACGGCCCAGACUCCUACGGGAGGCAGCAGUGGGGAAUCUUGCGCAAUGGGCGAAAGCCUGACGCAGCGACGCCGCGUGAGGGAUGAC